UCCCUUCAAUGUAGACUGACUCGGACA
rnacentral:piRNA from 1 species